rnacentral:rRNA from 1 species
CAGCCGCCGCGGUAAUACGAAGGGGGCUAGCGUUGUUCGGAUUUACUGGGCGUAAAGCGCACGUAGGCGGAUCCUUAAGUCAGAGGUGAAAUCCCAAGGCUCAACCUUGGAACUGCCUUUGAUACUGGGGAUCUCGAGUUCGGGAGAGGUGAGUGGAACUGCGAGUGUAGAGGUGAAAUUCGUAGAUAUUCGCAAGAACACCAGUGGCGAAGGCGGCUCACUGGCCCGAUACUGACGCUGAGGUGCGAAAGCGUGGGGAGCAAACAGGAUUAGAUACCCCUGUAGUCCCUGUCUCUUAUAA